AUAUAUUAAUGAAAAAAGGCUCAAAAUUCAUUAGAAAUACAUUAUAAAAAAUAAGGAAAAAAAGAGGAACGUUCAAUACUUAACCAGAUUUUUGAACGCAAAUUCCAGUGAGUCGACUUGAUACCGUUGCAUCGCGUCGACCGUCGAUGCUAUAACCAUCGUGUAACGUUGAUGUGUUAAGCGCAGCAAGUAAAAGUUGUGCCGACAACAGCCUUGGACGUUGUCCA
rnacentral:lncRNA from 1 species